UAGGCCAAAAAUCGGGUUGAAUUCCCUGGAGCUGAAGUUGCAGUUGAUAAUGAGUCACCAAUGUGGGUGCUGGAAACUGAACUCCUGUCCUUCAGAAGAGCAGCAGUCAUUUUAUAGAGCCUGAAUUUGUAAUCAACACUGGUUAGUCACGUUGGACCUAACCACUGGCUGUGGUUGCAGCAACACGUCCUCUGACCUCUUAUCCUCCACCAGAUCUCCAUCUGCAGCCCCUGACAAGGUUCCCUCCAUCCCAUCCCACCCCCUGGAUCUCUAGUAUCCCAGGAUGGCCUUGAAUGGACGAUGUUGUUGAAGAUGGCCUUGAAAUCAGAACCCUACUUCCUCCAUUUCUUGAGUGCAGAGAUAACAAAUAUGCAUCUCCGUGCUGAGAAAUGGGACCAUCCCAAAUUAGAAAGAAAAACAACUGGACCUUGAAUAAGGGCCAGCUAAGAAGAAAGAGCAAGUCAGGCAAUUUAGGGGAGGACUGUUCUUGAAGCUGUAAGCGGCCUGCUACAGAACCGAGAGAUGGGAGAAGAGGGGAGGACUGUCCUUGGAGCUGUGAGCUCCCCGCUACAGCUGCCAACCGCAUAACUGCUAUCUUUUCUACUAACUAAUCAAUGUAAAGGCCUGAUUUUUUAGGAAUAAAAACUCUGUGCUUUGUA